UACGGGGGGGGCAAGCGUUGUUCGGAAUUACUGGGCGUAAAGGGCUCGUAGGUGGCCAACUAAGUCAGACGUGAAAUCCCUCGGCUUAACCGGGGAACUGCAUCUGAUACUGGAUGGCUUGAGUUUGGGAGAGGGAUGCGGAAUUCCAGGUGUAGCGGUGAAAUGCGUAGAUAUCUGGAGGAACACCGGUGGCGAAGGCGGGUCUCUGGGCCGAUACUGACGCUGAGGAGCGAAAGCGUGGGGAGCGAACAGG
rnacentral:rRNA from 1 species